rnacentral:rRNA from 1 species
UACGUAGGGACCGAGCGUUAUUCGGAAUUAUUGGGCGUAAAGGGCGCGUAGGCGGCCUGGCAAGUGGAAGGUGAAAUCCCUCGGCUUAACCGAGGAACUGCCCUCCAAACUGCUUGGCUUGAGUCCGGGAGAGGUGAGUGGAAUUCCCAGUGUAGCGGUGAAAUGCGUGGAUAUUGGGAGGAACACCAGUGGCGAAGGCGGCUCACUGGACCGGAACUGACGCUGAGGCGCGAAAGCGUGGGGAGCAAACGGG